UCGAAUGGUGUAAAAGAGAGCUACUAUUAUUAUUUUGCCUUUCGAAUUGAUUAUCGAUGUUGCUAGGUUGGUUAUUGUGGUUGUUGUUGUUGAUUUUGAGCGAGUUAAAUUCUAGGGAUGGCCUAUUUAUAGGGGAAAUGCUGCCGAAUUUUCUGUAGAAUUUAAUGUUAGUUGGAAUAAAUGGCUUAAGUGCCUAUGUUUAAUAUUGAAUAUUCGUUGGCAUAUUUGUAGACCUUGGGGAGCCCGAGGCGUAGAUUGGAAUUUACUUUAUAUUGGCCAUCUUGGAGUGCGUACGAGGUAUGUAAAGCAACCUCCCUUCUUUUUGGCAUGUCUUAGUUUUACAUAGGCUAGAUUAGAGCCUUAAGGAAAUUCCAAAUCCGAAAUCCGAGCAUGAUAUGAUCUAUAUAUGUUCCUUGGCACUCUUAUGUAUGAUUUGAUGAAAUAUGAACCUUUAUGUAUUUGAAAUAAUCGCUUUCCGAACUUUGCGCAAAAAGGUUUCACUUUAAAGAACUUCGAAAUUUCUGAAUGCCAUACAUUUCACAUAAAUGCUCGGAUUACUCCAAUAUUUUUAUAAAAGUUUGCAUUAUGUAUGAUACGUAUGUUUUUCAUAGGCGGGCCCGACGGGUAAAUACCCGUCCGUGGGUCCCGCGACUUUCCUUUAUGUAAUUCAGAGAAUCUUUGAAAGAAUUUGGUAUGAUUAUUAUUCCGAUUUCAAAUAUGAUCAUUUUACUUAUGUUUGAAUUUAUGAUAAUGAUUUUAUGCAUAUGACUACUCACGAAUCUACUCGUGCAUUCUGUUAUUCCUUUCGCCGAGUCCCGGGCCGGUUCGGUGGUCGUGCGCAUUUUGAUAUACUCCGGAGUUAUGCUGUGUUUAUGGUUCACCGAGCUACUCGCAAAAGAGGGUCGGGUUCCACCUAUAUUUGGUGUUAUGCUGUGUAUGGCGUUAUGUUGUGAUGUGAUAUGUGACGGGGAUACGGAGAUUUGAAACUUUCUGGUGUUAUGCUGUGUUAUGGCGCCAUCGACGGGUGGGCGACCAUAUUCUUCUGUACCCUAUGCAUUACUUACAUAUUUUUGAAAGUACAGACGCACAGUUUGGUGAUCUACCCAUUUAGGACACCCUCUUCUGCUGUUUGGAGUGCUCUUCUCAUUUCAGAGCACACAUUUUGGUAUAUAUUCGUUCGCCAUGUAUAUAUGUAUUUGUUCAGGGGCACGGCGGGGCCCUGUCCCGCCAUAUGAUUCGGUUUGUCUGUUUAGAGGUCUGUAGACGUAUUUGUGGGUGUGUGUGCCUACUUCUGUACGGAUGUGUUUGCAUGACUCUAUUCGUUAUGGCAGCCUCGUCGGCGUGCAUUUUGUAUAUGUUUGUGGCAGCCUUGUCGGCGUGCAUUUGUAUAUGCGUUUUGGGCCGUUGUGCCAUUUGACAGCCUUGUCGUCUUUUGACAUAUUUGAUAGCCUUGCCGGCUUUUUGAUAUAUGUGCAUAUGUUCGGCGAUGUAUAUUCCGCCGCCUCUUCUGAUUCUGAUAUAAUGUUUUGUACGCGCAAUCGCGCAAGAUAAUAUUCGUUCUCAACUCUGUUUAAAAAUGAUGAUUUAGUUUGUAUGUCCGUUUGGGUGUCCAAGUAGGGCACCAGUCGCGGCCCACGGGGCUGGGUCGUGACAGAAGUGGUAUCAGAGCGGUUUGUCCGUGGGAUGUCUACAGGCCGUGCCUAGUAGAGUCUUGUUUAUCGGUGUGUUGUGCACCACAUCGAUAAACAGGAGGCUACAGGGCAUUUAGGAUGUUUCCUUUCUUUGAAUCUUAGAUCGUGCGAUAGAGCCAGCCGUAGGAAAUGAAUCUUUUUCUGCUAACCUUUAAUUUCAGCUGAGGACGGUAUCGACGUAAGAAAAUGACCGAUGAUAUUGGAAGCUAUACCGUACACAGGUAAGAAAUGGUAUGAAAGAUGUAUGUCGGGGAAGCUAUUUGAAGUAUGACGGAAAUAUAAAGUUGAAGAUUGAAAAGAAAAAUAAACAGGAAGAUAUCACUGGUGCCGUUUGAGUUGGGCACGUGAGGUAAGUCUCGACAUCUGUGUACUUUUGUUUGCAAUUGUUAGCCCUGUGUGGCUACGAUAAGAUAUAUAAAUACGUAUAUGUGUUGGCCCUGUGAGGCAUGGUCGGUAUUUCCUGUGUACAGGUUUUGGGAUAGUAAGAAAUACAGAGGAACCUCUGCCCAAAUUUUGCCAGAAAUAUAAAGAGAGAAAAUGAGAUAUAAGUUCUUAA